rnacentral:rRNA from 1 species
GACGAACGCUGGCGGCGUGCUUAACACAUGCAAGUCGAACGGAAAGGCCCUGCUUUUGUGGGGUGCUCGAGUGGCGAACGGGUGAGUAACACGUGAGUAACCUGCCCUUGACUUUGGGAUAACUUCAGGAAACUGGGGCUAAUACCGGAUAGGAGCGCCUGCUGCAUGGUGGGGGUUGGAAAGUUUCGGCGGUUGGGGAUGGACUCGCGGCUUAUCAGCUUGUUGGUGGGGUAGUGGCUUACCAAGGCUUUGACGGGUAGCCGGCCUGAGAGGGUGACCGGCCACAUUGGGACUGAGAUACGGCCCAGACUCCUACGGGAGGCAGCAGUGGGGAAUAUUGAACAAUGGGCGGAAGCCUGAUGCAGCAACGCCGCGUGCGGGAUGACGGCCUUCGGGUUGUAACCCGCUUUCGCCUGUGACGAAGCGUGAGUGACGGUAAUGGGUAAAGAAGCACCGGCUAACUACGUG